UCAAUUGUAAGUUUGCAGUCUUAAAAUGAUGACUUCUGUUACAAACUACGUUAGCACAAUCACAAUGGACAUGGCCAUUUAGCAGGGAGACAAGGUGGAACCCAAAUUGUUCAAAAUUAUCACCAGAUUCAGUACAUAUACAACAACAUAUGUACAAAAAUUUUGCCACAUGUCUGUUGCAGCAGUCAUCCUUGCGUCAAGUCAAUAUCAGUGUGUGGGUUUCUCAGGUCACCUGAUCGUGAAACCGGCCAAACGUUCAUUGGAGAGGCAGUGAAAUUUUGCGGUAGAUUCAUAGUGAUAGCAGAUUUUGGGGCAGCUGACUUAUCACCAGGCUGGGAUGUGGAGUCUUUAUUAAGUCUCGGGCGGCCAACCUGUUUAUCCUUGCUCUUAGAACCUCCAUGCACAAAACUACACACCACCACCUGAAUUGGCCCUGCUGCAAUAAGCAUUCCAAUUGCACCACCAAUGACAUGACCAUCAGGACUAGAAAAAGAAGCACUAAUACCACCAGUUCGAUGGCGAGGGCCACCAUCUUCAGCAACCAAGUAAGAACCAGACAAGCAUAGUAUCUCAAAAUGGCCCUCAAAUGUGACAGUAGGCCCUGAAGAUGCUGGCUGACGUAAGGUUACUGAAGAAACUGUACCCGUUCCAGACAAGAUGCAGACUGCCCUUGUCCUCUGUUGCGCAAAUGACAGUAUUUUUGCAACAAUAUCCUCCCCUGCUCCAAUCCUAAUCACAUGCGGCGAAAAUGCUAGUCCAGCAGAACUAUUCAUCCAGUCACCAAGAAGAGCCAAUUGCUGCUUCCUCCCAGUCCCAGGUGGCCGCCCUCUGGCCCGUCUAGGGCUCAAUGGAUCCUGCCCUGAGGAGGGUUUAGGCUUUACUGGCAUGGGAGACAAUCCAAGAGAAACUUGCCCAUCCGGAGCAUAUUUCCGGGGCCUUCCUCUCUUCUUCUUCACUGGUUCACCCAUUGGCACCCCAGGGGGCACAGCGAUGUUAAUGCCAUGACCAAAAUUCGCAAUUGAUGGCUCUAUUGAAAAUGCUGGGCCAGAUGAACCUGCCCUGGCAUUGGAUUGAACAGCUAGAUUCGGGUUUGACAAGGGUCUGAACCCAGGUGGGGUAUGCAAUGCACCAGUUUGUGAUCCAGACCCAGACGCACCAACCCCACCUCCUCUAUGAAAGUAAUAUGGUGCUGACCCACUAGCUAGAGCCAUAGCUUCUCUUCCAUCCAUGCAUUUACUAUAAGCAACAGUGAGAGAUGAAAACAGCGAAAUUUCACCUUCUUUUUCUUCUCCUCUUCCUUGGUUGGCUAAAGAUUGACCCCUUUAACCCUGAGCUCUAAACUGAACCAUCUGUUAUAGAAAUCAAACAAAGCAUAGAGCCAAAAGGAGAGUUCAUGAAAAGGGUUUUGCAAGGUUUUUUUUCUCUAAACAGAGGAAAAGCUACAAAGACAAGAAGAAUUUCAAAUCUUUUAACUUAAAAACAUUGAGAAUAGAUAAGGAUAAGGAAAAGAAAACACCUUUAGCCCUAAAUCUUCAGAAUAUGAACACGGGAAUUUCAGAAGGGUUUUGCAGGGGUUUUUGUCUUUGAAGAGAGGAUUAAAGCAACCCAACAAGAAAUUCAACCAAAACCCACUAAAAUAAAGGGAGAAAAUGAUGUUAAACUUUAAGCAACUUCACGUUCACCAUCCAACAGAAGAGGUUGUUUUGAGAACAAAUAUGAAGGAAAAUAAAAAACAGAACAGCUACACAAACCUAUAAGCUUAACAACAUAAAACCAUGCAAUAAC
rnacentral:misc_RNA from 1 species